rnacentral:rRNA from 1 species
AUUGAACGCUGGCGGCAUGCCUAACACAUGCAAGUCGAACGGCAGCACAGAUAUAGUUUACUAUAUUGGGUGGCGAGUGGCGGACGGGUGAGUAACGCGUGGGUAUAUAACCUAAAGACGGGGACAACUUGCGGAAACGCGAGCUAAUACCGGAUAAGCUCUGAGGAGAAAAGCUGGGGAUCUGGCGACAGACCUGGCGCUUUAGGAGUAACCUGCGUCCAAUUAGCUAGUUGGUAGGGUAAAGGCCUACCAAGGCGACGAUUGGUAGCUGGUCUGAGAGGACGGACAGCCACACUGGGACUGAGACACGGCCCAGACUCCUACGGGAGGCAGCAGUGGGGAAUAUUGGACAAUGGGGGGAACCCUGAUCCAGCAAUGCCGCGUGUGUGAAGAAGGCCUGCGGGUUGUAAAGCACUUUAGUUAGGGAGGAGUGUUUGAAGGUUAAGAGCUAUCAAGCAGGACGUUACCUAAAGAAUAAGCACGGCUAACUCCGUGCCAGCAG